AAUGAACGUUGGCGGCGUGGAUUAGGCAUGCAAGUCGAGCGAGAACCCCGCAAGGGGGGACAGCGGCGAAAGGGACAGUAAUGUGUAGAUUAUCUGCCCUCAGGUCCGGGAUAGCUGCGGGAAACUGCAGGUAAUACCGGAUAACAUCUCCGGAUCAAAGGUGUGAUUCCGCCUGAGGAUGAGUCUGCAUCCUAUUAGCUAGUUGGUGGGGUAAUGGCCUACCAAGGCAUUGAUGGGUAGCAGGUGUGAGAGCACGACCUGCGUCAUUGGGACUGAGACACUGACCAGACACCUACGGGUGGCUGCAGUCGAGAAUCUUCGGCAAUGGGCGCAAGCCUGACCGAGCGACGCCGCGUGUGGGAUGAAGGCCUUCGGGUUGUAAACCACUGUCAGAGGGGAUGAAAUGCAGGUGGGUUCUCCCAUCUGUUUGACAUAGCCUCAGAGGAAGGACGGGCUAAGUUCGUG
rnacentral:rRNA from 1 species